AUUGAACGCUGGCGGCAGGCUUAACACAUGCAAGUCGAACGAGUGGCGGACGGGUGAGUAAUGCUUGGGAAUCUAGCUUAUGGAGGGGGAUAACUACUGGAAACUGUAGCUAAUACCGCGUACUAUAGGAUGAGCCCAUGUGGGAUUAGGUAGUUGGUGGGGUAAAGGCUCACCAAGCCGACGAUCUCUAGCUGGUCUGAGAGGAUGACCAGCCACACUGGGACGGAGACACGGCCCAGACGCCUACGGGAGGCAGCAGUGGGGAAUAUUGCGCAAUGGGGGCAACCUGACGCAGCCAGGCCGCGUGGAUGAAGAAGGCCUUAGGGUUGUAAAGUUCUUUCGGUGGCGAGGCGUUAACCACAGAAGAAGCACCGGCUAACUCCGUGCCAGCCGCCGCGGUAAUAC
rnacentral:rRNA from 1 species